rnacentral:rRNA from 1 species
CGCGCGAUACAGGGUGACAGCCCCGUACACAAAAGCGCAUGUGUUGUGAGCUCGAUGAGUAGGGCGGGACACGUGGUAUCCUGUCUGAAUAUGGGGGGACCAUCCUCCAAGGCUAAAUACUCCUGACUGACCGAUAGUGAACCAGUACCGUGAGGGAAAGGCGAAAAGAACCCCGGCGAGGGGAGUGAAAAAGAACCUGAAACCGUGUACGUACAAGCAGUGGGAGCACCCUUCGGGGUGUGACUGCGUACCUUUUGUAUAAUGGGUCAGCGACUUAUAUUCUGUAGCAAGGUUAACCGAAUAGGGGAGCCGGAGGGAAACCGAGUCUUAAUUGGGCGUUAAGUUGCAGGGUAUAGACCCGAAACCCGGUGAUCUAGCCAUGGGCAGGUUGAAGGUUGGGUAACACUAACUGGAGGACCGAACCGACUAAUGUUGAAAAAUUAGCGGAUGACCUGUGGCUGGGGGUGAAAGGCCAAUCAAACCGGGAGAUAGCUGGUUCUCCCCGAAAGCUAUUUAGGUAGCGCCUCGUGAAUUCAUCUCCGGGGGUAGAGCACUGUUUCGGCUAGGGGGCCAUCCCGGCUUACCAACCCGAUGCAAACUGCGAAUACCGGAGAAUGUUAUCACGGGAGACACACGGCGGGUGCUAACGUCCGUCGUGAAGAGGGAAACAACCCAGACCGCCAGCUAAGGUCCCAAAGUCAUGGUUAAGUGGGAAACGAUGUGGGAAGGCCCAGACAGCCAGGAUGUUGGCUUAGAAGCAGCCAUCAUUUAAAGAAAGCGUAAUAGCUCACUGGUCGAGUCGGCCUGCGCGGAAGAUGUAACGGGGCUAAACCAUGCACCGAAGCUGCGGCAGCGAACGUAUCACCCAAGACAACUUUACGGAGUUGACGAUUGACGGAGCGAAGCGACGUCAAAGCGUUCAUUAAAGUCGAGUUGGCUUAGGGAUACGUUCGUUGGGUAGGGGAGCGUUCUGUAAGCCGUUGAAGGUGGCCUGUGAGGGUUGCUGGAGGUAUCAGAAGUGCGAAUGCUGACAUAAGUAACGAUAAAGCGGGUGAAAAGCCCGCUCGCCGGAAGACCAAGGGUUCCUGUCCAACGUUAAUCGGGGCAGGGUGAGUCGACCCCUAAGGCGAGGCCGAAAGGCGUAGUCGAUGGGAAACGGGUUAAUAUUCCCGUACUUGGUGUUACUGCGAAGGGGGGACGGAGAAGGCUAUGUUGGCCGGGCGACGGUUGUCCCGGUUUAAGCGUGUAGGUGUGUGUUCCAGGUAAAUCCGGUUCACUUUAACACUGAGGCGUGACGACGAGGCACUACGGUGCUGAAGCAACAAAUGCCCUGCUUCCAGGAAAAGCCUCUAAGCAUCAGGUAACAUCAAAUCGUACCCCAAACCGACACAGGUGGUCAGGUAGAGAAUACCAAGGCGCUUGAGAGAACUCGGGUGAAGGAACUAGGCAAAAUGGUGCCGUAACUUCGGGAGAAGGCACGCUGACACGUAGGUGAAGUGAUUUACUCAUGGAGCUGAAGUCAGUCGAAGAUACCAGCUGGCUGCAACUGUUUAUUAAAAACACAGCACUGUGCAAACACGAAAGUGGACGUAUACGGUGUGACGCCUGCCCGGUGCCGGAAGGUUAAUUGAUGGGGUCAGCGCAAGCGAAGCUCCUGAUCGAAGCCCCGGUAAACGGCGGCCGUAACUAUAACGGUCCUAAGGUAGCGAAAUUCCUUGUCGGGUAAGUUCCGACCUGCACGAAUGGCGUAAUGAUGGCCAGGCUGUCUCCACCCGAGACUCAGUGAAAUUGAACUCGCUGUGAAGAUGCAGUGUACCCGCGGCAAGACGGAAAGACCCCGUGAACCUUUACUAUAGCUUGACACUGAACAUUGAGCCUUGAUGUGUAGGAUAGGUGGGAGGCUUUGAAGCGUGGACGCCAGUCUGCGUGGAGCCG